CCUACGGGUGGCAGCAGUCGAGAAUCAUUCACAAUGGGGGAAACCCUGAUGGUGCGACACCGCGUGGGGGAAUGAAGGUCUUCGGAUUGUAAACCCCUGUCAUGUGGGAGCAAAUUAAAAAGAUAGUACCACAAGAGGAAGAGACGGCUAACUCUGUGCCAGCAGCCGCGGUAAUACAGAGGUCUCAAGCGUUGUUCGGAAUCACUGGGCGUAAGGCGUGCGUAGGCUGUUUCGUAAGUCGUGUGUGAAAGGCGCGGGCUCAACCCGCGGACGGCACAUGAUACUGCGAGACUAGAGUAAUGGAGGGGGAACCGGAAUUCUCGGUGUAGCAGUGAAAUGCGUAGAUAUCGAGAGGAACACUCGUGGCGAAGGCGGGUUCCUGGACAUUAACUGACGCUGAGGCACGAAGGCCAGGGGAGCGAAAGGGAUUAGAUACCCGUGUAGUC
rnacentral:rRNA from 1 species